UGAUGAUCAUAGCGAGUCGGUACCACCCCUUCCCAUCCCGAACAGGACCGUGAAACGACUCCACGCCGAUGAUAGUGCGGAUCACCCGUGUGAAAGUAGGUAAUCGUCAGGCU
rnacentral:rRNA from 1 species